AGGCAAUCUGUCUACACCAUCAAGUCACCUGACUGAUCACUAGGGUUGAUUUGGUUGACCUGGCUGGCAAGGCUGAUAUUCCCUUCCUAGCCCCAUUUUUGUUCCUGCUGAAGUUGAGCACUGGAUCAAAGUGACCUUCCCAGAAGAGAGGAGGACUAGUCCUCAAUAAAGAGUAUACAAGUG
rnacentral:snRNA from 1 species